rnacentral:rRNA from 2 species
UUCCCGGGCCUUGUACACACCGCCCGUCACACCAUGGGAGUGGGUUGCAAAAGAAGUAGGUAGCUUAACCUUCGGGAGGGCGCUUACCACUUUGUGAUUCAUGACUGGGGUGAAGUCGUAACAAGGUAACCGUAGGGGAACCUGCGGUUGGAUCACCUCCUUA